AUUGAACGCUGGCGGCAGGCCUAACACAUGCAAGUCGAACGAGUGGCGGACGGGUGAGUAAUGUCUGGGAAACUGCCUGAUGGAGGGGGAUAACUACUGGAAACGGUAGCUAAUACCGCAUACCAUCGGAUGUUCCCAGAUGGGAUUAGCUAGUAGGUGGGGUAAAGGUGCACCUAGGCGACGAUCCCUAGCUGGUCUGAUAGGAUGACGAGCCAGACUGGCACGGUGACACGGGCCAGACGCCUACGGGAGGCAGCAGUGGGGAAUAUUGCACAAAGGGCGCAAGCCUGAUGCAGCCAUGCCGCGUGUAUGAAGAAGGCCUUCGGGUUGUAAAGUACUUUCAGCGGGGAGGCGUUACGCGCAGAAGAAGCACCGGCUAACUCCGUGCCAGCAGCCGCGGUAAUAC
rnacentral:rRNA from 1 species